CACAUCAGGAGAACAUUAAGUAUUUGUAGCAUGUGAUUCCCUUGUGUUUUAUGUCUGUGAAACAGCUGUUUGUCCCUUCACCAGGCAGCUCAAAGGCUGUUUUUAUUUCCACAGUGAUGGCAGCAGCAGCGUUCAGGAGCAGAGGACUGGCUGGUGUCAGAAACACCAACGUUUUAAUCCUCAUCUUUCUGCUGUCCCUGGUUUAUGUCACAAAUUCACUGAUGAAAGCAGAAUACAAGAAGAAACAAGCAAGUGAACUUGAUGAAAAACUACAGUUUCUUCAAGCUUUUGAAGAACUAAUACGGACAUCAUCAGUUUUUGAGGAUUUUCCUGCAAUGAUGGACGUAGUAAAUAGUUUGAGACGCUUUUACAAGAGAACCAUCAUCCCAUCAGACAGAGAGGAAGAAGAAAAAUGGUGAAAAUGGGGAAAUAAAAGAGGAAAACAUGAAAAUCAUCCUAAAACUCAACCAAAUAAACUUUAAAAGUUUCUAUAUAAUAAAUAAUAAUACAAAAUAAAUCAUAAAAUAAUGAUACAUCUCAUCAUUAAAUAUGAUGGUUUUCUGUAAGAGAAAUGACAGCUGUAUGUUGUUUAUGCUGUUCUCACUGGGAAGCAGCUUUUAUUGCAUUUUGCAUAACAGACUGAUAAUCGUGGUGUUAUUAAACUCAAACUUAGAAAAAAGUAGUUUCUACUAACUUUUGAUAAAAAACAAAAAAGAAACUUGUGUUCACAUAUUGUUAUCUUAAUGUGUUCCCUUUUAUUUGUGUCUUUUUGGUUAAUAUAGAUCUUCUAUUUAACUUUGAAUACUCAACAACAACAAUGAAGGCUAGCCCUGAAUACUUGUCCUAUAUUAAAUAAAUUAUA
ensembl:lncRNA